rnacentral:lncRNA from 1 species
UCGUUCAAAUACUCAUCUUUCUAGGAAGGUAUUACCUCAGGAAACGUUUCUUCUGUUGAACUGCUGUUGCAUGACUCCAUGGAAAUUGGAGUAUCAGACUGUGAUUCAGUUAGGAUAUCUUUUAAGCAUUUCUUACUCGAGCUUCUCAUGGUUUCUGCGUAACAGCCCUGUGUCAAAUGUGGAAUAGCUAUUGCAUCAUUUAGGACCCUGAAAUCUUGAUUAUCAGAUCCCAUUAUUGGUAAUGUAUUCUGUAUAAUCAAGGUGGACCUAACAGACCCGGUUUUUCCUCUAGGUUAAACAUUAUAAACAAGUUGAAGGAAUGUAUCCUUUAUGUUUUCUGUGCCUUUUUUUUUUUUCCUGUGUUGUUUCUGGAUAUGCAACUUGAUUUACAUACAUCGAUAGAUGGUCUGCAUGCGCAUAUGGAAAUAGUUAAUCUUCAAGUUUCUGAAAGAAUUCAAUUCUAUACUUAAUUACUCCCAAGAUAAAACAUAGGCAAAGACUCACCCUAAGAUUGCUCCCUUGGCUUUUCCCAUUGGCACUUCUGAAAACUGGUUCCCUGUUCAUAGUCAUUAAUUAAUAACGAGAUAUGGCUAGUUCAAGAGUAUUGAGCAUUUCCCAGAGAAAGAAUUGUUUAAAAAAUUUAUAAUAGUAAAAGACAAGAUGCAUAAGUAUGUAAGUUCUAUUUUACUAGUUCAAAGUCUAAUUUAGCAAUCACUUUGCCAUAAAGCAUGUAAGUGCCAACCAGUUGAGAUGAAAUGAGCGUCAAGAAAAACUCUCACAUUAUGUACUUUGAUUUGUCGUCUGGGACAGCAUUGUCUAUGCUUGCAAGGUGCUUUGGAUCAUGCUCACCAUUAGACAUGAUCUGGUAAUAUAACAACCAGGCUUUAUAUUCCUUAGCCAUCCAUCCCAUAAUUUCAUUGGCCUGAUCCUCAUCAAGAUCUAUGACAGUGGCUGAUUUUGAUAACCUACUCCCAGGUCUUUCCUGCCUUUUAUGCCUGAUGUACAUAUGCAUGAUACUUUGGCAAAGCUCUGGCGCGAAUUCAUCACGGACAAGCCUAGGGGAAACAAGAAGAGCUUGAAGAAAGUGUAAUGCAGCCUGCCAAUCAUCUUUUUGGAGCUUCCGGACAACUGAUAGGUAAAAGUAGGAGCAACAGAUCAAAUAUUCAUUG